GUAACUGCAGUUUGUGACCAACAUGGAAAGUAGAGGGCGUAGCGCACAACUUUGUGAAGAGCUGGAAUCAAGACUAGGGGCUGUGGAAAGAUGGGGACCCGGUCUGACAACUGGAAACGCUCUGAUCAAGCAGCAGAAUCAAACAAGACUCAAAUGUCCCCAUUUUCCAGUCUGGCCACCAAAAUCACAGUGACCUGGACUCUAUAUUUACG